rnacentral:rRNA from 1 species
CUACGGGAGGCAGCAGUGAGGAAUAUUGCGCAAUGGAGGCAACUCUGACGCAGCCAUGCCGCGUGCAGGAAGAAGGCGCUACGCGUUGUAAACUGCUUUUAUCCGGGAAGAAACCCCUCGACGUGUCGAGGGUUGACGGUACCGGAGGAAUAAGCACCGGCUAACUUCGUGCCAGCAGCCGCGGUAAUACGAAGGGUGCAAGCGUUAUCCGGAUUCAUUGGGUUUAAAGGGUGCGUAGGCGGAGCGUUAAGUCAGUGGUGAAAUCCUGCAGCUCAACUGUAGACUUGCCAUUGAUACUGGCGCUCUUGAGUGCGCUUGAAGUGGGCGGAAUGUGCCGUGUAGCGGUGAAAUGCUUAGAUAUGGCACAGAACACCAAUUGCGAAGGCAGCUCACUAAGGCGAUACUGACGCUGAGGCACGAAAGCGUGGGGAUCAAACAGGAUUAGAAACCCUAGUAGUCC